rnacentral:rRNA from 1 species
AAACCAACCGGGAUUGCCUUAGUAACGGCGAGUGAAGCGGCAAAAGCUCAAAUUUGAAAUCUGGUACCUUCGGUGCCCGAGUUGUAAUUUGUAGAAGGUAACUUUGGGGCUGGUCCUUGUCUAUGUUCCUUGGAACAGGACGUCAUAGAGGGUGAGAAUCCCGUGUGGCGAGGAUCCCAGUUCUUUGUAAAGUGCUUUCGAAGAGUCGAGUUGUUUGGGAAUGCAGCUCUAAGUGGGUGGUAAAUUCCAUCUAAAGCUAAAUAUUGGCGAGAGACCGAUAGCGAACAAGUACAGUGAUGGAAAGAUGAAAAGAACUUUGAAAAGAGAGUGAAAAAGUACGUGAAAUUGUUGAAAGGGAAGGGCAUUUGAUCAGACAUGGUGUUUUGCGCCCUCUGCUCCUUGUGGGUGGGGGAAUCUCGCAGCUCACUGGGCCAGCAUCAGUUUUGGCGGCAGGAUAAAUCUGCAGGAAUGUAGCUUGCCUCGGUAAGUGUUAUAUCCUGUAGAAAUACUGCCAGCUGGGACUGAGGACUGCGACUUUACGUCAAGGAUGCUGGCAUAAUGGUUAUAUGCCGCCCGUUU